rnacentral:tRNA from 1 species
CCCGCAUGCGGCGCUGGAGGCCGACGGGCUGGUGGUGCCCGGGGUGGGCGCGUUCGCCGCGUGCAUGCGGGG